rnacentral:rRNA from 1 species
UACAGAGGUCCCAAGCGUUGUUCGGAUUCACUGGGCGUAAAGGGUGCGUAGGCGGCCGGGUAAGUCUGAUGUGAAAUCUCACAGCUUAACUGUGAAACUGCAUUGGAUACUAUCCGGCUCGAGGAAUGGAGGGGAGACUGGAAUACUUGGUGUAGCAGUGAAAUGCGUAGAUAUCAAGUGGAACACCAGUGGCGAAGGCGAGUCUCUGGACAUUUCCUGACGCUGAGGCACGAAAGCCAGGGGAGCGAACGGG